UCGGCCACACUGGGACUGAGACACGGCCCAGACUCCUACGGGAGGCAGCAGUAGGGAAUCUUCGGCAAUGGACGGAAGUCUGACCGAGCAACGCCGCGUGAGUGAAGAAGGUUUUCGGAUCGUAAAGCUCUGUUGUAAGAGAAGAACGAGUGUGAGAGUGGAAAGUUCACACUGUGACGGUAUCUUACCAGAAAGGGACGGAUAACUACGUGCCAGCAGCCGCGGUAAUACGUAGGUCCCGAGCGUUGUCCGGAUUUAUUGGGCGUAAAGCGAGCGCAGGCGGUUAGAUAAGUCUGAAGUUAAAGGCUGUGGCUUAACCAUAGUAGGCUUUGGAAACUG
rnacentral:rRNA from 1 species